UCUUAAGCACCUCAGUCAGUAGAGCAUGAGACUCUUAAUCUCAGGGUUGUGGGUUCGUGCCCCACGUUGGGAG
rnacentral:tRNA from 1 species